rnacentral:rRNA from 1 species
AUACGGAGGAUCCGAGCGUUAUCCGGAUUUAUUGGGUUUAAAGGGUGCGCAGGCGGCCAUUUAAGUCAGCGGUUAAAUCGUGGGGCUCAACCCCAUUCUGCCGUUGAUACUGGGUGGCUUGAUUGCGGUCGAGGUUGGCGGAAUUCGUUGUGUAUCGGUGAAAUGCAUAGAUAUGACGAAGAACACCGAUUGCGUAGGCAGCUGACCAGACCGCAAAUGACGCUCAUGCACGAAAGUGCGGGGAUCGAACAGGAUUAGAUACCCUGGUAGUCCGCACAGUAAACGAUGAAUACUUGUUUUCGGCGAUAUAAUGUCGGAGGCAAAGCGAAAGCGAUAAGUAUUCCACCUGGGGAGUACGCCGGCAACGGUGAAACUCAAAGGAAUUGGCGGGG